rnacentral:rRNA from 1 species
GACGAACGCUGGCGGCGUGCCUAAUACAUGCAAGUUGAGCGAUGAAGAUUGGUGCUUGCCCCAAUUUGAAGAGCAGCGAACGGGUGAGUAACGCGUGGGGAAUCUGCCUUUGAGCGGGGGACAACAUUUGGAAACGAAUGCUAAUACCGCAUAACAACUUUAAACAUAAGUUUUAAGUUUGAAAGAUGCAAUUGCAUCACUCAAAGAUGAUCCCGCGUUGUAUUAGCUAGUUGGUGAGGUAAAGGCUCACCAAGGCGAUGAUACAUAGCCGACCUGAGAGGGUGAUCGGCCACAUUGGGACUGAGACACGGCCCAAACUCCUACGGGAGGCAGCAGUAGGGAAUCUUCGGCAAUGGACGAAAGUCUGACCGAGCAACGCCGCGUGAGUGAAGAAGGUUUUCGGAUCGGAAAACUCUGUUGGUAGAGAAGAACGUUGGUGAGAGUGGAAAGCUCAUCAAGUGACGGUAACUACCCAGAAAGGGACGGCUAACUACGUG